UACGAGGGGAGCUAGCGUUGUUCGGAAUUAUUGGGCGUAAAGGGUGUGUAGGCGGCACUAUAAGUAUUGUGUAAAAUCCCCGGGCUUAACCUUGGGUUCGCAUGAUAUACUGUAGUGCUAGAAUGUGAUAGAGGGAAACGGAAUUUCUAGUGUAGAGGUGAAAUUCGUAGAUAUUAGAAGGAACGUCAGAGGCGAAGGCGGUUUCCUGGUUCACUAUUGACGCUGAGGCACGAAAGUGUGGGGAGCAAACAGG
rnacentral:rRNA from 1 species